AGCACGCCUGCAAUAUCCCAAGUGGUGAAGCUAAAUGGCUUUCAGGAAUACUGAAUAAACCGAAGGAAACAAAAAAAUACUGAGGAGUUAUGAGAGGCAGGAAAGCAGAAGAUGGUGAGCAUAGAGAAGCAAGGGGAGGAGAGAAUGCCCGGGCAUCCUACCUUCCUGGUAGCUACAUGAUGUCUCUGACUCCACCUACUACCUUUCACUAUCCCUGUUUGGAUUUCCUGCCUGGCUAAAUCCUGACUGCCCAUUGGCUGAAACAGCUUUAUUCAUCAACCAAUAAGAUAAACAUAUAUUCACAGCAUAUAUAAGGGCAUCCCUUAUGAUAUGUAGACAGCAGGUCCUGAAUGCCAGAUGAAGUAUGAGAAGGAAGAAAAUCAUGUCUUACUGAGGUCAUCCAGGAAAGCCUCACAGAGAAGGUGGUCCCGAAUAGAGCCCAGAAGGACUCAAAGACAAAGAGGAAGUAUGACAACUGCAUCAAUCAAAUAAGCCUUACAGAUUGGAACAUGUAUGCACUUGCAGGGAAUGAAAAGCAAAUUGCACAGACCAAAUAUGAAUGAAAACAAAGACCAAGUUCAAAUUGUGACAUUCAGGUUUGGAGAGACUAGGAGGCAACUAAUUACAAUGCCAAGCACCGAAUCCCAGGAUGAUGAGAAUGACUCCACAGACUGAUGCUAGAAGGAUUAGUCUGACAAACGUGAACCAUGGCUAAAAAUACAACAGUAGGCAACAAGAAAAUUCUACAUCCUGUGUUGUGGAGUAUUAACUAUGUAAAAAUGUGUUAUGCUUGUUUAUGCUGCAUUUGGUUAAUUAUGUAUAGAUGUAUCACUUUUGUUUUACCUUACCUGACUAAGUCACCUGAUUGGUCUAAUAAAGAGCUGAAUGGCCAACAGCUAGGCACAGAAAGGAUAAGUGGGGCUGGUGGGUAGGGAGAAUAAAGAGAAGGUGAAAUUUAGGCUUGGGAGAGAAGAAGGAAGAGAGAAACAUGGGAGGAGGAGAGGGACACGGGGCUAGAAGCCUGGCAGCUGCCAGACAGACAGACAUGAGAAGCAGUGACAGUAAGAUAUACAGAAGAAAAGAAAGGUAAAAAGCCUCGAAGCAAAAUGCAGAUGAAGAGAAACAGGUUAUAUUAUAAGAGCUAGCAAGUAAUGAACCUAAGCUAAGGUUGAGCAUUCACAACUAAUAACCAGUCU
rnacentral:lncRNA from 1 species